UUAUGCUUUGCCUACCGAAGACCUAACCCUAGAAUUUGCUUAUAUUUGACACAGAUUUUACGCGGAGCCCUCGCUAACAACCUUUUAUGCUUUGCCUACCUAACACGUAACCCUAUAAUUUGCUUAUAUUUGACACAGAUUUUACAGGGAGCCCUAGUAGCUGCCAUGGAAGCCUCGGUUUACAGAAAUGGCGUGGAGGCGGUAUUUUUCAGGUGUUUUUUAUAAAUUUUUUUAUUUUCAAAUCAGAAAGGAUCAGGGCGGUUGGAUUGGCAUUGUUUAAUUCUACCAGAGGAAAUCGCAGAUCAUAGAUCUUUAUAAAAAUUCAUGACCUUGCGACAGGCUUCUGAGAGGCGAGAGCGAACUCGUUCGCCUGUGACUCUCCUUGUCAAGGUAAAAACCAGGUUCUCGACCACUGCCCGCACUCUCGUCCUUCACAGAGCCACGGUAGCUGUCUGGUGCGUUUUUUUAUAAAUAUUCCGUAGGCUAGAGCAGCAGCGGCCAUGAAAGCCUAGGUUUACCGAAAUGACAUAAAAAGCGGCAUUUUUCUGGUGCGUUUUUCUAAAAAUAUUCCGUAGGCUAGAGCAGUAGCGGCCAUGGAAGCCUAGGUUUACAGAAUGGCAUAAAAAGUGGCAUUUUUCUGGUGCAUAUUUUUGUAAAUAUUUUUUAAUUUUUAAAUUAAAAAGAAUCAGAGCAGUUAGUCGGCAUGGUUGCCGACGGAAGGGAUCGCAGGUCAUAAAUCUUUUAAAAAGUCGCUUCUAAGAGGCGAGGACGAAGUCGUUCUCAACUUCUGCCCGCGAUCUGGUCCUCCUCAGGCUCCGGGUGGCUUUCUCCGGAUCUUGGCUCUCGUUCAAAGCAAUAAGCGGGCGGGCGGAGAGCUCUGUGCUUAUACGGUGACGCGUCCGGCUGAGCAGGCGCGUCUUCCUCCAGUUUUGGUUCUGCUCACAGGCGGGCGGCAGACACGGUUUAUUUAAAAAAUAUUUAUUAGGGUUCCUUAUAUAAUUAAUGGCCGUGGUUUACUGUAAUGUGUGUGAUUUACCGAGGUUUUCACUCUAGUACAACUGCAGGCGUAAUUAUCGAAUCAAAUUAAGGAGGGAAAAGUGUAUAGGUGCAUUUUUAAUCGAUAAGAGAAAGUUCUGGAGUUGCUUUCCAAGAAAAUUCUAUGCAAUUACCAUGUUCGAUGAAAUAAUGGGAUGAGGUCCGCCCUGGUUCCCCGACUUUUCUCGGAAUGUCCAAGUAAUCUGUGAAUAUGAUUCGAUCUGAUCUUUUUCAGAUGCAGUGCCCAGACAUAAAAGAAAGUUCUGGAGAAGUCUCUAAGAAAAUUCCCAGGCAAAUUCCAUUUUGUAAGAUAAUGGGAUGAGUUCUGCCCCCGGUUCCACGACAUUGUUCGGAAUGUUCGAGUAAAAUCUGUGGAUAUUAUUCGAUGUGAUCUUUUUGUCGUUGCAAUGCAAUUACGCCAUCUUCGAGCGCAUUGAAACGUGGCAAUUUCUAUGCAGCUUCCAGAAUGUACCUUUUAUCGUAUUCUCAUUUCAAUUAAUUAAUAAAUACAGUCAGUACUGUUACAAGACAGGUGGAGUAAUAAGACGCGGUAAAUUUGACCCAAAAUUGACUCUAAUUUCUGGCUCAAAGAAUAAGGCGGACCUGUGGAAGAAAAAGACACUCGCUUUUUAUAUACAUUUGAGCCAAAAUAUCUGUGAUAAGGAAACAUCAAACUAUUUGCCUAUCUUAACGCGAUUCCAUUAAUCUAAGACUAGUCAAGUUCUCAUUCGCACAUAGAAAUCCGCGGCUUCAAACAAAGGGGGCUCACAAUAUGAGCACACAGCACAGUACCGGACACAUCAACGGCUAUUCCCUGGCAGGUGGCCGUUGAACGAGCAUAUCCGUUGAUGCGUUUUGUGCGCUUCCCAGAAAUCCAGUUCUUUGCUAGAGGAUUCCAAAAUCUCCUAUAUAAACGCAAGCCUUGGAACUUUUCAACCAGAGAAAUUGUAAUAUACAUUUACAAGUUUGAACUUCCGAGAGUUACUAAGUUUUUACAUAUUUUGUGAAAUCUUUAACUGAAUUAAAGGUAUUCCAUAAUAGUUCUUGUUAUUACUGAUUUUCAUUGUGUAUAUUUUGUUUAACUGAAUUUUUAUUUUAGCAAUAAAUAGAAUGGAUAGUUUCAAUAGCAAGGUUCUGUGCACAAGAGCCGAAGCCCUGCUGAAAUCCCUUAUCCCAGCUAUCCAACAACUUUGUGCAUCUGACCUGCAACUGCCCAAGGAUCAGCAAAAGCCUGCCAUUCACCAGUUUUUGAACACACUUAUUAGGGGCGCAGAGCUGGUGAAAUAUUGUGAGAGCAUUAGCGCUUUCAAUGUAUUUCGUAGGUGUAGAUUUGCUUCACAGAUACUCAAGCUAGAAGAGGAGAUUGAUGGUGUCAUGGUUUAUAUCCCAGGAAACGUUGAGUUAGAUGCUAGAAGUCUUAGUGCAGUCUUGAAAGAUCUGUACAAGGAAUUAAAGCCUCCAGAUAUAAGUCGCACGCUGAGUGGCCUUAUUCAACAGCAAAUGAGUUUAGGUAACCUGUGUCAAAGUACUAGAAUGGAAGAGGCUAACAAAUGCUCUUAUCUUAGCAUUGUUCCUGUGAAAUCUCGGUUUUAUGCGGGAUUGGAGAGGCCUGUUGGGGAUUUGAAGGAGCUUUUAUUCCAAAGCGAGGUGACAGUCGUUGGGGUGCAUUGUAUGGGGGGUGGUGGGAAAACGACUUUUGCCUUGGCUAUUUGUAAUGAUCCCCAUAUCAAAGGUUAUUUUGAGAAUGUACACUUCAUUACAGUUUCGCAGUCACCAAAUUUGAAGGGAAUUAUAGAGAUGAUGUGGGAGAAGAUUGUUGGAAGGAAGAAGCCCGAGUUUCAGAAUGUAGAAGAUGCACGUAUACAGCUAAAGCAGCAGCUUUCUUGUCAAUCCAAGCGUACGCUGAUGAUAUUGGAUGACGUCUGGUCCAGGGCUCAUUUGGAGGAGUUACUACUUGAAGCUCCAGGGUACAAGACUGUUAUCACAGCCAGAGACAGUUCUGUCAUCCCCCGAAACUCCUGUACACGACUGUAUCAGUUGCCGUUGCUGGGCGACGAGGAUGCGCUCUCGCUUUUCUGCUUCUCGGCUUUUGGACAGACAUCAAUUCCUUGUACAGCUGAUGCAAAUCUAGUCUUGGACGUGCAAGCUGAAUGCAAGGGCUUACCCCUUGCUCUAAAGGUGAUUGGGAGCUCUCUGAAUGCGGAACCUCAUGUGACAUGGUUGAACGCAAAGAAUAAGCUAUCCUUGGGGGAAUCCAUAUCCAGUGAUCAUGAAGAAGGGCUUUUUAGAUGCUUGAAGACCAGUAUUGAUCUCUUGGAUGAUUUUGGGAGGGAAUGCUUCUUAGAUUUGGCCUCAUUUCCAGAGAACAAGAAAAUCUGUGCUGAUGCACUGCUGGACAUUUGGGUUUAUGUUCGGAAGCUGGAGAGGCAAGAUGCCUUUAUGAUGUUGUGGGAACUUGCAAAGAAAAAUCUCUUGAAUUUAGUCAGCAGCUCGGGAAGCCAAGCAACAAUCUCUUAUGGAAAUGCCUCCGAGCUGUACUUUUAUCAGCACGAUGUCAUGCGAGAUUUGGCCGUAUAUUUGGGAAGCCAGGACAAUAUAGUCCAUAGGAAGAGAUUAUUCAUGCCCAGGAAAGAGACGAACUUGCCAGGGGAGUGGGGGCAGAUGCUUAGUGAUAGACCAGUUAAUGCUCAAGUUGUCUCUAUUCACACAGGCUCUAUGGUUGAGAAUCAAUGGUAUGAUAUGAAUUUUCCAGAGACAGAGGUUCUGGUGUUACACUUCUCUGCAAGCAAGUACUUUCUACCACCAUUUGUCAAAACAAUGAAAAGACUGAAAUUUUUAAUGUUGUGUAAUUUAAAUUCGAAGAGGACCCCAAUAGAAGGUUUAGAUGCCUUAUCUUCACUCACUCAGCUCAGGAGCGUUCGCUUGGAGAAGUUGGAUGUACCCACUAUUUUAGAACAGAUUAAAGUAAUACAAAAAUUAGACAAACUAUCUCUAAGCUUAUGUGAAGGUUUUGGAAAUAUUGCCACAUUCGGCAACACCAACCUACAAGAAUUUAACCUCGACCACUGCAGUGAUUUGGAGGAAUGGCCCACAGACAUCUGUCGUAUGCCCUCUGCUCAGAUAUUGUCUAUUACCAACUGCCAUCUGGUUGAAAAGUUACCAUAUGAUCUGGGGAACCUGAGGUCUCUAAGAAUGUUGAGAUUAUCAGCAUUACCAGCGCUGAAAGAGCUUCCGGCAUCAAUUGGAAAACUUGGGCUGCUGGAAUUUCUAGACAUUUCACUGUGUGAGGGCUUGAAAGAACUUCCAGAGGAGAUAGGUCAACUCAAGCAAUUGAAAGAGUUUGACAUGAGAGAGUGUUCUCGUUUGAGGAGGUUGCCUAAAAGUGUUUGUGAACUAAGCUCUCUGAAACAUGUCAUCUGUGAUGAGAAGAUUGGGCACCUGUGGUUGCAAGUUAAGGCUUCUUUUGUGCCUGAUCUUAGAGUUGAAAUCGUGGAACCGCAAUUUACUUUGGAUUGGCUUGAUGAUUGAUUUCACAAAGCAAACUCCAACUAACUUGACAACCUUUUCUUAGGAGUGAACGGGGAUAAGGUGGAACAUCAUAUGGCUGUCAUUACAGUGCUGCAUUAAUGGCUUUUGCGAUCUCAAAUGCUAAUUCUCUCAUAUACUACACGUUUGCUUCUUUAUGCUUCAAAGAAUCUACUCCUUGAGCGAUGCGAGGAUGCGAGCAUUCACAAAGCAAAGAUUUGUACUCCAGGCAUUGAGGACAUUAUUUGAGGAUGAAGGCAUGUCAGGCAAAAGAAUAAUUUAAUACUUUUAGAAAGAAAUGUUCCUUGUUUAUCUUGAGACUUCCCGUGCCCUUCCCAAUCUUUAUUCCCAUUCGAGCGUAACUGAUUAAACAUUAACCCAGCAACCACAAUUCACGCGUCCCUGACUGCAUUGACUUUAUUACAGACUUCACUUGUGAUCAAUCUGUUCGACUUUAUUACAUACCCUGUUUUGUUCCCCUUCACCUCUUUAAACAUUGUGCGCAGCAAUCAAAAUUCAAUGAGAGCGUGAUGGCCUUGAGACUUCUAGUGCGCUUCUCAAUCACAAAAUGUCGUAAUUUUUUCGAGUUAUUGAAGUGAAGAAAUGUGACUUCAUUUUGGGAGCUUGAAAAUAUGGAGCGAAAGAGUUACAUUUGAACUCAUGAAAUUUAAACACAGCCCGAUCCACAUGUAAUUCAUGAAAUGCCGCAACCAAAUUAAUUUCCCAAACCUGAAGAAAAAAUUCUAAUAAAGACUUGAUACAAUGGGGGAUCAAUCCUCUGCCUCCGGGCUUCUCAGAGGCACUAAUUUUCAAAUUUCUACUGAAAAUGUGUCAAAUCCUUCCGUAAUUUUUCAGAGUUUUUGAAGUGAAGAAACGUGACUUCAUUUUGGGAGCUCAAAAAUAUGGCAAAUAGUUAUUUUGUUUUCAUAAAGGGAAAGAGUACAUUUGAAUUUAUGAGAGCUCGAUCCACAUGUCUGAACUCAUGAAAUGCCGCAACCACCGGGCUUCUCAAAAUGUGUCAAAUUUUUUUGAGUUUUUAAAACUGAAGAGGGGGAGCCUGAAAAUAUGGCAAAUAGUUAUUUUGUUUUCAUAAAGGGAAAGAGUUACAUUUGAAUUUAUGAGAGCUCGAUCCACAUGUUUGAACUCAUGAAAUGCCGCAACCACCGGGCUUCUCAAAAUGUGUCAAAUUUUUUCGAGUUUUUAAAACUGAUGAGGGAGCCUGAAAAUAUGGCAAAUAGUUAUUUUGUUUUCAAAAGGGGAAAGAGUUAGAUUUGAACUCGUGAGAAAUUUAAACACAGCUCGAUCCACAUGUCUGAACUCAUGAAAUACCGCAAACAAAUUAAUUUCCCAACCUGAAGAAGAAAUUCCAAAAAAGGCUUGAUAUAAAGAAAUCAAUCCUCUGCAGAGGUAAUAAUUUUCAAAUUUCUACUGAAAAUGUGUCUUCGAAAAUUUCUGCAGAGGCAAUAGUUUUUGAAGUGAAGAAAUGUGACUUCAUUUUGGGAGCUUGAAAAUAUUGCAAAUAGUUAUUUUGUAUUCAAAAGGGAAAGAGUUACAUUUGAAAAAAGACUUGAUACAAUGGGAUCAAUCCUCUGCCAUUGGGCUUCUCAGAGACACUAAUUUUCAAAUUUGUACUGAAAUGUGUCAAAUUCUUUCGUAAAUUUGAUUUGUUUAAACAUUUUAUAUCAAUUUUCAAGCUAUACAGUGAAAAUAUCCGGGGGAUCAUCAUUUGAAGUGCUAGUCUUUUGCAGGACUUUGCGGAGGAAGUAGUUUUUUAAUCGAAUGGGAAUCAAAUGAUCUCUGCAGGUGUCUUAUGAGUCGGGCUUAAUUUUUAAGGAAGAGGGUCGUUCUUUGAAUAAAAAAACUUUGUGCUACAGGAUUAUUUGGAAUCUUUUCUAAAAAAUAGAAGCCCCUAGGUUUUAGGCCUACAAAUUUGAGUGGGAGUGAAGAAGGGGUGGGAAUAGAAAUUGCCCCACCAAUUUAGGGAUAUUAUCUGUCACUUGUCAAACAUCUAAGUUGAAUUUCUAUUAAAAAGUAGUUUUGAAAGGAAAUGAUUUAUUUUUCCUUGUUUUUUUAUUAUCCACAUACAAAGAUAUUUUAUUCAUGAGAUCACCAACUUCCUCAAAUUUCAGAGAUUAAAUUUUUAAACUGAAAUACAUGACAAAAGAUAUUCUUUCUUGCAAGUACUACAUAAAUACUGAAUUAUGUAGAGCUAUCUUUCUAAAUAUUAUGAAAUACAUUUAUGUAUAUUGCCACAUAAACCUUUAACCCUUAUUCAUCUCAUGUGAAGGCCAACGCAAUGACCUUGAAUGGUUAGGCACUAUCUUUCCAAAUUUUAUUGAUCAUCUACUACUUAAUGCCUAGGCUAGCUAUACUGUUUUAUCUCGUUCCACAUCACAAUAACACAAGAAGAUUAAGCGCAAUCUAUUUUGGAUUGCCUUGAUUGAUUUCUCAGAGCAGAAGCUUCAAGAGAUUUCACAUUCCUUGCAAGUAAUAGUACAGUCUCUUUAUCAGUUCCUGCAUACAAAGGAUACUACAGUUUCAUCCCAUCUUAAUAACUUUUGCUGCGAGCCAACGUGUAGAAAUGUCACCCUUCAACUGCCAACAUGUAAAAAUGUGACCCCAGUUUACCAGUUUAACUUUCGAAACAAUCUUCUGAUAUCCCCAAUUUUUUUGAGGGGCCUUAUUUUGUUGAGGAGGACAUGAUAUCUAAUUCUCACUUUAAAAAACAAUUAUACAAGUUAUAGUCUCAACUGCUAAUUAUGUCAUUACACAACAUUCAAAGCUGCACGGCAAAUUUAAUGUGA